rnacentral:rRNA from 1 species
AACGUGCCCCGGACUCUGGGAUAGCUAUCCGAAAGGGUAGGUAAUACCGGAUGACAUAACGCCCUCGCAUGAGGGGGUUCUCAAAGGAGUAAUCCGGUCUGGGAGCGGGCGAUUUCGUAUCAGCUAGUUGGUGGGGUAACGGCCCACCAAGGCGACGACGCGUAGCCGGACUGAGAGGUUGGCCGGCCACAUUGGGACUGAGACACUGCCCAGACUCCUACGGGGGGCUGCAGUAACGAAUCUUCCGCAAUGCACGCAAGUGUGACGGAGCGACGCCGCGUGUGG